GUCACUUUCGCUUCUUCNNGCUGAAAGAGGUUUACAACCCGAAGGCCGUCAUCCCUCACGCGGCGUCGCUGCAUCAGGCUUUCGCCCAUUGUGCAAUAUUCCCCACUGCUGCCUCCCGUAGGAGUCUGGGCCGUGUCUCAGUCCCAGUGUGGCCGGUCGCCCUCUCAGGCCGGCUACCCGUCGUCGCCUUGGUGAGCCACUACCUCACCAACAAGCUGAUAGGCCGCGGGCUCAUCCUGCACCGCCGGAGCUUUCGACCACCAUGGAUGCCCAAGGUGGUCAGUAUCCGGUAUUAGACCCCGUUUCCAGGGCUUGUCCCAGAGUGCAGGGCAGAUUGCCCACGUGUUACUCACCCGUUCGCCACUAAUCCCCACCGAAGUGGUUCAUCGUUCGACUUGCAUGUGUUAAGCACGCCGCCAGCGUUCGUCCUGAGCCAGGAUC
rnacentral:rRNA from 1 species